GAAACAUGGGCUGAGAGAGCCAGGCGGCGCCGCAAGGAAGCGGCAGCUUGCGCCAGUGUCUAUUUAAGGAUUGUGGAAACUCAACAGGGGCUGGAGACCGUUCUCAACUUGCUACCUCUGCCUCUGGGCUAAUGUAACCAAGAGAUCAAGCUGCUGCUGACAUUAUAUUCAAUGCAGUCCCAGAGGAUAGGAAUUUAAUUCACUGUUCGUUUUACUCCUGGCUGAAAGUGACCAAGUUGGUUCCCAAGUGUGAGGAAAUCUUGAAGAAUGUAGCCUUUUUACAGGAAUUCUAUUCAAAGGCUCAGUCCAGUUCAAGAUGCUGUCGAACUUCAGGCCUGGUGCUUGAAAGAAUUGUGCUUGAAAGAAGCUUUUCAAGAAGGAGACAGAUCAAUGGAUUCUUAAGGAUCAGAGAGGGGCUGGUUGCAAAGGAGCAUGAGGGAGUUUUGAGGAAAUGUUUUAUAUCUUGAUUAUGGUGGUGACUGCAUUUGUCAAAUUUCGGGAUGAGUUUUGCUAAAUGUAAAUUUCACUUCAAUAAAUGUGACUUUAAAAAC